rnacentral:rRNA from 1 species
UACGAAGGGGGCGAGCGUUGUUCGGAAUUACUGGGCGUAAAGGCUCGUAGGCGGCCAACUAAGUCAGACGUGAAAUCCCUCGGCUUAACCGGGGAACUGCAUCUGAUACUGGAUGGCUUGAGUUCGGGAGAGGGAUGCGGAAUUCCAGGUGUAGCGGUGAAAUGCGUAGAUAUCUGGAGGAACACCGGUGGCGAAGGCGGCAUCCUGGACCGACACUGACGCUGAGGAGCGAAAGCCAGGGGAGCAAC